rnacentral:rRNA from 1 species
AAUGAACGCUGGCGGCAUGCCUAACACAUGCAAGUCGAACGAGAUCUUCGGGUCUAGUGGCGCACGGGUGCGUAACGCGUGGGAAUCUGCCCUUUGGUUCGGAAUAACAGUUGGAAACGACUGCUAAUACCGGAUGAUGACGAAAGUCCAAAGAUUUAUCGCCAGAGGAUGAGCCCGCGUAGGAUUAGCUAGUUGGUGUGAUAAAGGCAGACCAAGGCGACGAUCCUUAGCUGGUCUGAGAGGAUGAACAGCCACACUGGGACUGAGACACGGCCCAGACUCCUACGGGAGGCAGCAGUGGGGAAUAUUGGACAAUGGGCGAAAGCCUGAUCCAGCAAUGCCGCGUGAGUGAUGAAGGCCUUAGGGUUGUAAAGCUCUUUUACCCGGGAUGAUAAUGACAGUACCGGGAGAAUAAGCUCCGGCUAACUCCGUGCCAGCCGCCGCCGUAA